GUGCUAUCGACUCACUUCCAUUCGAAAAACUCAGCUUGUGGUUGUUCGACUAUUUACCCACAGCUUGUGGUUGUUUGACUCUUCAUCUGCUCAGAAUAUAACCACCCCUAGCGAUAUCAUUGACUGCUCAGUUGCUCUAAUACGCGUUCAUCUCACGUUCCCGCUAAUAGACAUCCACUUUUCUCUAUACCAGUGCUUUCCCCGAAAAGCUCUUCACCUUUCCUCUUCAUCCUUCUCAUCUCCCAAAUCAAAUUGUACCCCCAUAAUCUCUCUCUCUCCUCGCUCUGACUCUGUAUCUUCGUCCUUCGUCUUUCGCUGGCGAUCGGAGACUUCUCCCCGAGAAAUCAAGCCCAAGAACCGAAGAUCAUUCAUUUCUUAGAGGAUGCAGGGGCUCCUGAUGAUGACGACAACAGGUUGCCACCAUGACUGAAGCCUCUGCCAAAAAUUCACCAGUAUAGAGUCCCACAAGAGCGGAUGCAACAUGUACUGCUUAGACUGCAUGAACGGUGCUUGGCAUUUUCUCAACAAUUGCUUCUCUCUAUCCACAUUCUUUUCUUCGUGAGAGAGAGAUCGAGAGAGAUUCAAAGAGACGGCGGGCGCUCAGUUAAUGAAGAGAAUGCCACUUAUCAAGUUUCGGGACGCAUACCAACCCUCGGGUCAGUUGCCAACCGAUCCAUAGUUUUCAAUUUUCAAUUAUGAAAGCUUGUCUUCUCCUCCGAUUAUCGAUGCUGAAAUGGAUGCAUCGCACAUUGUGAUGUCCAGAGCGCAUAAUGUAAGAGUUAUGGUUCGGUUGAUAGAUUUUUCGAAAUGGGAAUUACAAAUGGGAAAGAAAAGAUGACGAAUAGGGGCUUUUCUGUUGUCAUGGCUGAUACUUAUGAGUAAUAUCAUAAAAGAACGGAGAGAUGACAAUAAAAUAGAUUACCGCUUUUUAUGUUG